AUGUCAAAAAUUCAUUUUCACAAUCAAAUCAAAGCACAAAGGUUUUCUCACAGAGAAAAUCAGGAGAAAUUCAGAUGAGAACCGAAGAAAACCAUAGGCUGUGAAGAAAAAAUUGAAGAACAAUGGAAGAUUGAAGAAGAAUUGCUUGUGUAUUUCUCAGUACAACAUACAUGUAUUUAAAUACUGCACAACUAAUUAAAAGAAUUAAAAUCAUUCUAAAUACAAAUAUAUUUGUCUAAAUCCUAUUGGUUGUCUAUGUAACCUCUAAAACAAACUUUUAUUCCUUUUUGUGUUUCUCACGUGACCUUGUAGAUACUUCUAGGUCUUAUAAGAUGGAUGGUUGGGAUUUGAUCUCUUACAUGUGUGGCUGAGAUUAAACAUAUUCCUUGAUAGGUCUUGAUGAUUGCCACGUACUAAUGAGUCAAAAUUCAGACCAUGUUCCUGUUUCUUCAUAUCCUUCAUCUUAUCUGUAAUUUCAACAUCCCCUCAAGAUGGAGGGUAGGGAAACGACACCCAUCUUGUUAAGAAUUCUAUGAUGAGCAGGACCAGAUCAGCAAGUUGAUCCUUGGAGGGAACAAAUUGAAGAGAAAUGAGCCCGGAAAGAUACUGUUGCCAGACAAAAUGACAGUCAAGCUUCACGUGUUUCGUUCUCAUGAAACACUAGGUUUUUGGCUAUAUGAAUGGCCGCUUGACUAUCUGGACGAAUAGGGAUCGGCAACAAAGGAGGAACAGAGAGAUCAGCAAGAAGGCGAGUUAACCAAGUCAGCUCGGCAACUAAUCGACACAUUGAGCGAUACUCAGCUUCCGCGGAUGAUAAAGAAAUGGAAGCUUGUUUUUUUCGACUUCCAGGAUAUUGGAGAACCUCCCAAACAAAUAAAGAACCCACUUAUCGACUGACGAGAGUCGGGAUAGGACGCCCAAUCUGCAUCGCAAAAGGCAGAGAUGGUGAAAGAAUGAGAAGCUAUGAAAAAAAUGCCUUGAUUAGGUGAACCUUUCAGUUAAUUUGCAAGAUGGAUCCAUCGGGGAAGACACGGAGUGCAGAUGAGAAAUGUCAAACUCCGCAAGAAGAUCUAAGAUAUAUUUCCUUUGACUGAUUAUUAUCCCAUUUUCAUCGCGCAGAAUUUCCAUUCCUAGGAAAUAAUGAAGCAAACCAAAAUCUUUGAUUUUGAACUCAACAUGUAAGAAAUCUUUGAGACGUUGAAUUUCUAUCACGUCAUUUCCUGUAAUGAGAAUGUCAUCGACAUAUACAGCAACAAUAGAAACCAAAUCACCUGUAUGUUUAAAAAAUAAAGAGUAAUCAUUCAGUGAUGCAUUA